rnacentral:rRNA from 1 species
AUGAACGCUGGCGGCAGGCUUAAUACAUGCAAGUUGAACGGUAACAUUUUGUAGCAAUACAGAGAUGACGAGUAGCGUACGGGUGCGUAACACGUGUGCAACCUACCUUAUACAGGAACAAAACGUUGAGAAAUUAGCGCUAAUAUUCCAUAAUAUUAUUGAUAGGCAUCUAUUUAUAAUUAAAGCUCAGGUGGUAUAAGAUGGGCACGCGUUCCAUUAGCUAGUUGGUAAGGUAACGGCUUACCAAGGCAACGAUGGAUAGGGGUUCUGAGAGGAUACACCCCCACACUGGAACUGAGACACGGUCCAGACUCCUACGGGAGGCAGCAGUAAGGAAUAUUGGGCAAUGGAGGCAACUCUGACCCAGCCAUGCCGCGUGCAGGAAGACAGUCUUAUGGAUUGUAAACUGCUUUUAAUAGGGAAUAAUUUCGAUUAUGUAUAGUUGAUUGCAGGUACCUAUAGAAUCAGCAUCGGCUAACUCCGUG